rnacentral:rRNA from 1 species
GGUAGAGCACUGUUUCGGCAAGGGGGUCAUCCCGACUUACCAACCCGAUGCAAACUGCGAAUACCGGAGAAUGUUAUCACGGGAGACACACGGCGGGUGCUAACGUCCGUCGUGAAGAGGGAAACAACCCAGACCGCCAGCUAAGGUCCCAAAGUCAUGGUUAAGUGGGAAACGAUGUGGGAAGGCCCAGACAGCCAGGAUGUUGGCUUAGAAGCAGCCAUCAUUUAAAGAAAGCGUAAUAGCUCACUGGUCGAGUCGGCCUGCGCGGAAGAUGUAACGGGGCUAAACCAUGCACCGAAGCUGCGGCAGCGAUGCUUAUGCGUUGUUGGGUAGGGGAGCGUUCUGUAAGCCUGCGAAGGUGUGCUGUGAGGCAUGCUGGAGGUAUCAGAAGUGCGAAUGCUGACAUAAGUAACGAUAAAGCGGGUGAAAAGCCCGCUCGCCGGAAGACCAAGGGUUCCUGUCCAACGUUAAUCGGGGCAGGGUGAGUCGACCCCUAAGGCGAGGCCGAAAGGCGUAGUCGAUGGGAAACAGGUUAAUAUUCCUGUACUUGGUGUUACUGCGAAGGGGGGACGGAGAAGGCUAUGUUGGCCGGGCGACGGUUGUCCCGGUUUAAGCGUGUAGGCUGGUUUUCCAGGCAAAUCCGGAAAAUCAAGGCUGAGGCGUGAUGACGAGGCACUACGGUGCUGAAGCAACAAAUGCCCUGCUUCCAGGAAAAGCCUCUAAGCAUCAGGUAACAUCAAAUCGUACCCCAAACCGACACAGGUGGUCAGGUAGAGAAUACCAAGGCGCUUGAGAGAACUCGGGUGAAGGAACUAGGCAAAAUGGUGCCGUAACUUCGGGAGAAGGCACGCUGAUAUGUAGGUGAAGUCCCUUGCGGAUGGAGCUGAAAUCAGUCGAAGAUACCAGCUGGCUGCAACUGUUUAUUAAAAACACAGCACUGUGCAAACACGAAAGUGGACGUAUACGGUGUGACGCCUGCCCGGUGCCGGAAGGUUAAUUGAUGGGGUCAGCGCAAGCGAAGCUCUUGAUCGAAGCCCCGGUAAACGGCGGCCGUAACUAUAACGGUCCUAAGGUAGCGAAAUUCCUUGUCGGGUAAGUUCCGACCUGCACGAAUGGCGUAAUGAUGGCCAGGCUGUCUCCACCCGAGACUCAGUGAAAUUGAACUCGCUGUGAAGAUGCAGUGUACCCGCGGCAAGACGGAAAGACCCCGUGAACCUUUACUAUAGCUUGACACUGAACAUUGAGCCUUGAUGUGUAGGAUAGGUGGGAGGCUUUGAAGUGUGGACGCCAGUCUGCAUGGAGCCGGCCUUGAAAUACCACCCUUUAAUGUUUGAUGUUCUAACGUGGACCCGUGAUCCGGGUUGCGGACAGUGUCUGGUGGGUAGUUUGACUGGGGCGGUCUCCUCCUAAAGAGUAACGGAGGAGCACGAAGGUUGGCUAAUCCUGGUCGGACAUCAGGAGGUUAGUGCAAUGGCAUAAGCCAGCUUGACUGCGAGCGUGACGGCGCGAGCAGGUGCGAAAGCAGGUCAUAGUGAUCCGGUGGUUCUGAAUGGAAGGGCCAUCGCUCAACGGAUAAAAGGUACUCCGGGGAUAACAGGCUGAUACCGCCCAAGAGUUCAUAUCGACGGCGGUGUUUGGCACCUCGAUGUCGGCUCAUCACAUCCUGGGGCUGAAGUAGGUCCCAAGGGUAUGGCUGUUCGCCAUUUAAAGUGGUACGCGAGCUGGGUUUAGAACGUCGUGAGACAGUUC